rnacentral:rRNA from 1 species
UACGAAGGGGGCUAGCGUUGCUCGGAAUUACUGGGCGUAAAGGGCGCGUAGGCGGAUCUUUAAGUCAGGGGUGAAAUCCCAAGGCUCAACCUUGGAACUGCCUUUGAUACUGGGGAUCUCGAGUCCGGAAGAGGUGAGUGGAACUGCGAGUGUAGAGGUGAAAUUCGUAGAUAUUCGCAAGAACACCAGUGGCGAAGGCGGCUCACUGGUCCGAUACUGACGCUGAGGUGCGAAAGCGUGGGGAGCAAACAGG